rnacentral:rRNA from 1 species
UAGCAAACACGGAUUAGAUAUCCCUGGUAGUGCACACCGUAUACGAGGAACGUUAGGUAUUAGGAGAUCUCCGCCUCUAGUAUCGAAGCUAACGCAUUAAGCAUUCCGCCUGGGGAGUACGACCGCAAGGUUGAAACUCAAAGGAAUUGACGGGGAGCCGCACAAGCGGUGGAGCAUGUGGUUUAAUUCGAAGCAACGCGAAGAACCUUUCCAGGUCUUGACAUCCUUUGAAGCUUUUAGAGAGAGAAGUGUUCUCUUCGGAGACAAAGUGACAGGUGGUGCAUGGUCGUCGUCAGCUCGUGUCGUGAGAUGUUGGGUUAAGUCCCGCAACGAGCGCAACCCUUAUUGUUAGUUGCCAGCAUUCAGAUGGGCACUCUAGCGAGACUGCCGGUGACAAACCGGAGGAAGGCGGGGACGACGUCAGAUCAUCAUGCCCCUUAUGACCUGGGCUACACACGUGCUACAAUGGCGUAUACAACGAGUCGCCAGACCGCGAGGGUGAGCUAAUCUCUUAAAGUCCGUCUCAGUUCGGAUUGUAGUCUGCAACUCGCCUACAUGAAGUCGGAAUCGCUAGUAAUCGCGGAUCAGCACGCCGCGGUGAAUACGUUCCCGGGUCUUGUACACACCGCCCGUCACACCACGGGAGUUGGUAAUGCCCAAAGUCGGUUCUCUCUCUUCAGAGAGAGAGGCCUCCUAAGGCAGGACAGAGGACUGGGGGAAGUCGUAACAA